UAAAUACUCGCUCCAUCCCAAAAAUCUUGUCUUACAUUUGUGUAGAUAUGAAUGUAUCUAGUCACAUUUUAGUAUUUAGAUACAUCUAUUUAUAGACAAAUUUAAGACAAGAAUUUUAAGACGGAGGGAGUAGGAG
rfam:Hordeum vulgare subsp. vulgare, WGS project CAJW01000000 data, contig: morex_contig_2552469